rnacentral:rRNA from 1 species
UGUCGGCGUGCCUAAUACAUGCAAGUAGAACGCUGAAGAGAGGAGCUUGCUCUUCUUGGAUGAGUUGCGAACGGGUGAGUAACGCGUAGGUAACCUGCCUUGUAGCGGGGGAUAACUAUUGGAAACGAUAGCUAAUACCGCAUAACAAUGGAUGACACAUGUCAUUUAUUUGAAAGGGGCAAUUGCUCCACUACAAGAUGGACCUGCGUUGUAUUAGCUAGUAGGUGAGGUAACGGCUCACCUAGGCGACGAUACAUAGCCGACCUGAGAGGGUGAUCGGCCACACUGGGACUGAGACACGGCCCAGACUCCUACGGGAGGCAGCAGUAGGGAAUCUUCGGCAAUGGGGGCAACCCUGACCGAGCAACGCCGCGUGAGCGAAGAAGGUUUUCGGAUCGUAAAGCUCUGUUGUAAGUCAAGAACGAGUGUGAGAGUGGAAAGUUCACACUGUGACGGUAGCUUACCAGAAAGGGACGGCUAACUACGUGCCAGCAGCCGCGGUAAUACGUAGGUCCCGAGCGUUGUCCGGAUUUAUUGGGCGUAAAGCGAGCGCAGGCGGUUUGAUAAGUCUGAAGUUAAAGGCUGUGGCUCAACCAUAGUUCGCUUUGGAAACUGUCAAACUUGAGUGCAGAAGGGGAGAGUGGAAUUCCAUGUGUAGCGGUGAAAUGCGUAGAUAUAUGGAGGAACACCGGUGGCGAAAGCGGCUCCCUGGUCUGUAACUGACGCUGAGGCUCGAAAGCGUGGGGAGCGAACAGGAUUAGAUACCCUGGUAGUCCACGCCGUAAACGAUGAGUGCUAGGUGUUGGAUCCUUUCCGGGAUUCAGUGCCGCAGCUAACGCAUUAAGCACUCCGCCUGGGGAGUACGACCGCAAGGUUGAAACUCAAAGGAAUUGACGGGGGCCCGCACAAGCGGUGGAGCAUGUGGUUUAAUUCGAAGCAACGCGAAGAACCUUACCAGGUCUUGACAUCCCGAUGCUAUUUCUAGAGAUAGAAAGUUACUUCGGUACAUCGGUGACAGGUGGUGCAUGGUUGUCGUCAGCUCGUGUCGUGAGAUGUUGGGUUAAGUCCCGCAACGAGCGCAACCCCUAUUGUUAGUUGCCAUCAUUCAGUUGGGCACUCUAGCGAGACUGCCGGUAAUAAACCGGAGGAAGGUGGGGAUGACGUCAAAUCAUCAUGCCCCUUAUGACCUGGGCUACACACGUGCUACAAUGGUUGGUACAACGAGUUGCGAGUCGGUGACGGCAAGCUAAUCUCUUAAAGCCAAUCUCAGUUCGGAUUGUAGGCUGCAACUCGCCUACAUGAAGUCGGAAUCGCUAGUAAUCGCGGAUCAGCACGCCGCGGUGAAUACGUUCCCGGGCCUUGUACACACCGCCCGUCACACCACGAGAGUUUGUAACACCCGAAGUCGGUGAGGUAACCUUUUGGAGCCAGCCGCCUAAGGUGGGAUAGAUGAUUGGGGUGAA